AUGCUGUUUUCUAUCAAUCCCAAGCGGAUACUCCCCAGCUUCCAUGGUCCGCUUACCGAGGAAGAGAUGCGGGAUGACCCAGGGCCAGAGCAAGUUGGGUUGGGGUAUAGAGCCGUAAGCGCGGUGGGGGUGACAGAGGAUGUGAUCGUACGGUUCAUAGUUGGGUAUGAUAUUCUUGUGGAUUGUUGGGAACGUCCUCUAUAUUCGAAAUAUGCCUUUCUAGGAGCAUUACGAUCUGCAGCCCAUAUGGCCCUUAUGAAGUCUCUAUUGGUCUUAUUCUUAUUGUGCGCCUUGUGA
rnacentral:rRNA from 1 species